GGUCAAGCUACAAAGGGCGCAUGGUGAAUGCCUUGGCAUCAGGAGCCGAUGAAGGACGCGAUAAGCUGCGAUAAGCUUCGGGUAGACGCACAUAGUCAGAGAUCCGAAGAUUUCCGAAUGAGGAAACUCACAUGGGAAACCCCAUGUAUCAUAAAGUGAAUACAUAGCUUUAUGAAGGUAUACCCAGGGAACUGAAACAUCUAAGUACCUGGAGGAAGAGAAAGAAAAAUCGAUUUUCUUAGUAGCGGCGAGCGAAAAGGAAAGAGCCCAAACCAGAGAUUUAUCUCUGGGGUUGCGGACAGAACAUAACGAGAAAUCAUAGUUAAUUGAACACAACUGGAAAGUUGGACCACAGUGGGUAAUAGUCCCGUAAGUGAAAACUAUGAUAAUCAGUUCUGCACCAGAGUACCACGAGACACGUGAAACCUUGUGGGAAGCAGGGAGGACCACCUCCCAAGGCUAAAUACUACCUGAUGACCGAUAGUGAAGCAGUACCGUGAGGGAAAGGUGAAAAGAACCCCGGGAGGGAGUGAAAUAGAACCUGAAACCAUGUGCCUACAACCGAUCAGAGCACCUUAUGUGUGUGAUGAUGUGCUUUUUGUAGAACGAGCCAACGAGUUACGGUAUGUAGCGAGGUUAAGUACUUAAGGUACGGAGCCGAAGGGAAACCGAGUCUUAAUAGGGCGACUAGUUGCAUGCUGUAGACCCGAAAACCGGGUGACCUAUCCAUGGCCAGGUUGAAGCGAGGGUAAAAACCUCGUGGAGGACCGAACCACGUUGCUGUUGAAAAAGCAUGGGAUGAGCUGUGGAUAGCGGAGAAAUUCCAAUCGAACUCGGAUAUAGCUGGUUCUCCUCGAAAUAGCUUUAGGGCUAGCGUCCGGGAAAAUGUGAGUAGUGGAGGUAGAGCCACUGAUAGGCUUAGGGGGCAUAGCGCUUACCGAACCUUAUAAAACUCCGAAUGCCACAUACUAUCAGUCCGGCAGUCAGACUAUGAAAAGAUAAGUUCAUGGUCAAAAGGGAAACAGCCCAGAUCGUCAGCUAAGUCCCAAAGUGUAAGUUAAUGGAAAGGAUGUGGGAUUUAAGACAACUAGGAUGUUGGCUUAGAAGCAGCCACUCAUUAAAGAGUGCGUAUAGCUCACUAGUCAGAGAUCUGCGCCGAAAUGGUUCCGGGGCUCAAACUUACCACGAAAGUACGGGUUCACGCAUUUGCGUGAGCGGUAGAGGAGCGUCGUAAUCGGGCUGAAGUCGUACCGUAAGGAAGCGGUGGACUGAUUACGAGUGAGAAUGUUGGCAUUAGUAGCGAGAUGUAGGCGGAGAAUCCUACAGGCGAAUAUCUAAGUUUUCCUGAUAAGUUUGUCUUCUCAGGGUUAGUCGGGCCUAAGGCGAGGCCGAAAGGCGUAGUCGAUGGACAAUUGGUUGAUAUUCCAAUACCACUAUAAUCGUUAUUAUCGAUGGUGUGACGGAGAAGGAUAGGAUGUGCUAGCUAUUGGAUGCUAGUCUAAGCGUUUAGGGAGUUGGGAUUGGCAAAUCCGUUCCAACAAUUCUGAGGCGUGAUGGGGAAGGUUCUACGGAACCGAAGUAUCUGAUUCCAUGCUUCCAAGAAAAGCAUCUAGAGAGAGAAGUAGUGCCCGUACCGCAAACCGACACAGGUAGAUGAGGAGAGAAUCCUAAGGCCGACGGAAGAAUUGCAGUUAAGGAACUAGGCAAAUUGACCC
rnacentral:rRNA from 1 species